rnacentral:rRNA from 1 species
AAAGGACUUUGAAAAGAGAGUUAAAUAGGGCGUGAAACUGCACACUGAAAAGCGAAUGAGUACACAUGGGUUCUUGUUGCUAAUCAAGUGCGUAUGGCAGGCCGGCAUGUGGGCGAUAAUGCAUCUCAAGUCGGUCGUCGUACGUACUGCAUUUGGUAGCUUGACGUUCUGCUUGGUUUCGUAACAGCUACAGCCACAGUGAAGUACACCUUUCCCUUGUGGAAAUGGAUGUGUCACUCGUAGCCUUAUUAUGUUAACAAUAGAGAAAUUCUGUUCGUGGACAGCUGCGGUUGCUAUACGCAACCGUAGUCGUUAGCUGAAACGGAGCUUGAGAUACUCUGGUUCACAGAGCCUCAAGAUGGCUGGCUCACAGGACGCGCUUUUGCGUGGUCUGUGGUUUGGUUGCAUCGGUCAUGUGAAUGCUGAAAGCAGGUUGUGUUGUGGCAUCAUUCGAACCGUCUUGAAACACGGGCUAAGGAGUUCAACAGAUGCGCAAGUUUACUGGUUUUCGAAACCAGAUGGCUAAGUUAACGCGACUUUGUGUAUAAUGGAGAGAACUCGUCCACUUUCGAGUUGGACGGGGUCACCUCCUGUGAUGGAUGGCAUAUUGAGUACCGGUUGCUGUUCGCAGUCGAGCGCAUAUGCUGAGACCCGAAAGAUGGUGAACUAUGCCUGGGUAGGAUGAAGCCGGAGGAAACUCUGGUGGAGGUCCGAAGCGUUUUUGACGUGCAAAUCAAUCGUCAGACUUGGGUAUAGGGGCGAAAGACUAAUCGAACCAUCUAGUAGCUGGUUCCCUUCGAA